rnacentral:rRNA from 1 species
UACGUAGGGCGCAAGCGUUGUCCGGAAUUAUUGGGCGUAAAGAGCUCGUAGGCGGUUUGUCGCGUCUGCUGUGAAAACUCGAGGCUCAACCUCGGGCUUGCAGUGGGUACGGGCAGACUAGAGUGCGGUAGGGGUGACUGGAAUUCCUGGUGUAGCGGUGGAAUGCGUAGAGAUCCGGAAGAACACCGGAGGCGAAGGCGGCUUGCUGGGCUUGGUCUGACGCUGAGGCGCGAAAGCGUGGGGAGCGAACAGG